UCUCUUGAGUUUGAGGACACAGCCUUGUC
rnacentral:piRNA from 1 species